rnacentral:rRNA from 1 species
AAUAUUGGACAAUGGGCGCAAGCCUGAUCCAGCCAUGCCGCGUGCGUGAUGAAGGCCUUAGGGUUGUAAAGCUCUUUCACCGGUGAAGAGACUGACGGUAGCCGGAGAAGAAGCUCCGGCUAACUUCGUGCCAGCAGCCGCUGUAAUACGAAGGGGGCUAGCGUUGUUCGGGAUUACUGGCCGUAAAGCGCAAGUAGGCGGAUUGGUCAGUUAGGGGUGAAAUCCCAGGGCUCAACCCUGGAACUGCCUUUAAUACUGCCAGUCUUGAGUUCGAGAGAGGUGAGUGGAAUUCCGAGUGUAGAGGUGAAAUUCGUAGAUAUUCGGAGGAACACCAGUGGCGAAGGCGGCUCACUGGCUCGAUACUGACGCUGAGGUGCGAAAGCGUGGGGAGCAAACAGG